AUUGAACGCUGGCGGCAGGCCUAACACAUGCAAGUCGAGCGGAUGAAGGGAGCUUGCUCCUGGAUUCAGCGGCGGACGGGUGAGUAAUGCCUAGGAAUCUGCCUGGUAGUGGGGAUAACGUCCGGAAACGGGCGCUAAUACCGCAUACGUCCUGAGGGAGAAAGUGGGGGAUCUUCGGACCUCACGCUAUCAGAUGAGCCUAGGUCGGAUUAGCUAGUUGGUGGGGUAAAGGCCUACCAAGGCGACGAUCCGUAACUGGUCUGAGAGGAUGAUCAGUCACACUGGAACUGAGACACGGACCAGACUCCUACGGGAGGCAGAAGUGGGGAAUAUUGGAAGAUGGGCGAAAGCCUGAUCCAGCCAUGCCGCGUGUGUGAAGGAGGUCUUCGGAUUGUAAAGCACUUUAAGUUGGGAGGAAGGGCAGUAAGUUAAUACCUUGCUGUUUUGACGUUACCAACAGAAUAAGCACCGGCUAACUUCGUG
rnacentral:rRNA from 1 species